GAUGAACGCUAGCGAUAGGCUUAACACAUGCAAGUCGAGGGGCAGCACAAGGUAGCUUGCUAUCUGGGUGGCGACCGGCGCACGGGUGCGUAACGCGUAUGCAACUUGCCCUAUACAGGAGGAUAACCCGUCGAAAGACGGACUAAUACUGCGUAUGCUCACAACUUGGCAUCAAGUGGUGAGGAAAGAAAUUCGGUAUAGGAUAGGCAUGCGUCCCAUUAGCUUGUUGGUGAGGUAACGGCUCACCAAGGCAACGAUGGGUAGGGGAACUGAGAGGUUUAUCCCCCAAACUGGUACUGAGACACGGACCAGACUCCUACGGGAGGCAGCAGUGAGGAAUAUUGGUCAAUGGGCGCGAGCCUGAACCAGCCAAGUCGCGUGAAGGAUGACUGUCUUAUGGAUUGUAAACUUCUUUUAUACGGGAAUAACAAGAGUCACGUGUGACUCCCUGCAUGUACCGUAUGAAUAAGCAUCGGCUAACUCCGUG
rnacentral:rRNA from 1 species